rnacentral:rRNA from 1 species
GACGAACGCUGGCGGCGUGCUUAACACAUGCAAGUCGAGCGGUAAGGCUCCUUCGGGGGUACACGAGCGGCGAACGGGUGAGUAACACGUGAGCAAUCUGCCCAUCACAUCGGGAUAACUUCGGGAAACCGAAGCUAAUACCGAAUACAACCACUUCAGGCAUCUGACGGUGGUGGAAAGUUCCGGCGGUGAUGGAUGAGCUCGCGGCCUAUCAGCUCGUUGGUGGGGUAAUGGCCCACCAAGGCUUCGACGGGUAGCCGGCCUGAGAGGGUGACCGGCCACACUGGGACUGAGACACGGCCCAGACUCCUACGGGAGGCAGCAGUGGGGAAUAUUGGACAAUGGGCGAAAGCCUGAUCCAGCAACGCCGCGUGAGGGAUGACGGCCUUCGGGUUGUAAACCUCUUUCAGCGCCGACGAAGCGAAAGUGACGGUAGGCGCAGAAGAAGCACCGGCCAACUACGUGCCAGCAGCCGCCGUAA